rnacentral:rRNA from 1 species
CCCUUAGAUGGUCUGGGCGGCACGCGCGCUACAAUGAUGCAUUCAAAAAGUCUUCUGACCUUAGAAGGUUGGGUAUUCUCCAAAGUGCAUCGUGAUGGGAAUAGUUUAUUGCAAUUUUUAAUCUUGAACGAGGAAUUCCUAGUAAGUACAGGUCAUCAACUUGUGUUGAUUACGUCCCUGCCCUUUGUACACACCGCCCGUCGCUCCUACUGAUUGAGUGUCUCGGUGAAUUCUUUGAUCUUCUGUCGAUUCAGUUCACUGAUCCGACGGUGGAAAGUUGAAUGAACUUCGCCACUUAGAGGAAGGAGAAGUCGUAACA